rnacentral:rRNA from 1 species
CCUACGGGAGGCAGCAGUGGGGAAUAUUGCACAAUGGGGGAAACCCUGAUGCAGCGACGCCGCGUGAGUGAAGAAGUAUUUCGGUACGUAAAGCUCUAUCAGCAGGGAAGAAAAAAACUCCUUUGGACUUUGGACGGUACCUGACCAAGAAGCCCCGGCUACCUACGUGCCAGCAGCCGCGGUAAUACGUAGGGGGCAAGCGUUAUCCGGAUUUACUGGGUGUAAAGGGAGCGUAGGCGGCAGCGUAAAUCUGGAGUGAAAUGCCGGGGCCCAACCCCGGAACUGCGGUGGAAACUGUGCAGCUGGAGUGCAGGAGAGGGAGGCGGAAUUCCUGGUGUAGCGGUGAAAUGCGUAGAUAUUAGGAGGAACACCAGUGGCGAAGGCGGCUUACGGGACUGUAACUGACGUUGAGGCUCGAAAGCGUGGGGAGCAAACAGGAUUAGAUACCCUGGUAGUC